rnacentral:rRNA from 1 species
UGAGUAACACGUAUCCAACCUGCCGUCUACUCUUGGACAGCCUUCUGAAAGGAAGAUUAAUACAAGAUGGCAUCAUGAGUCCGCAUGUUCACAUGAUUAAAGGUAUUCCGGUAGACGAUGGGGAUGCGUUCAAUUAGAUAGUAGGCGGGGUAACGGCCCACCUAGUCUUCGAUGGAUAGGGGUUCUGAGAGGAAGGUCCCCCACAUUGGAACUGAGACACGGUCCAA